CAGUGUCAGUGUGUCUGUUAACAGAUCCUAGAUCCCAGGGCUGCCACAUUUAUAUCUGUUGAUGUUUACACAGGCAGCCAGUCAGCCAGAGAGAUAAGGCCUCCUCAUUCCAAGGCAACUUACACAGGCAGCCAGUCAGGCAGAGAGGUAAGGCCUCCUCAUUCCAAGGCAACUUCCACAGGCAGCCAGUCAGGCAGAGAGGUAAGGCCUCCUCAUUCCCAGGCCACUUCCACAGGCAGCCAGUCAGGCAGAGAGGUAAGGCCUCCU
ensembl:lncRNA